GUGUGUGUGUGUACACUCCUUUUCAGUGACUGGAUGAAUCUCAGGUCCCCGUCUCAGGUGAAACCGAAAGGCCACUUGGGAGAUGGCAGAGGUAGCCUAAGUCUGAUGAUCUCCAUGUGCUUCCCAUUUAUAUCCUGGGAGCAGGACUCUGCCUGACUCAGCUCUUCUGUGUUAGGGACCGCGGUGGAGAACGGAUCCUUCUUUGGACUUUCGUUUUUCUUGCUCAUGUUAAUGGAACCCUGGAGUGAAACAGGCCCCAUAAGGCAUUGCUGCUUUCCUGUUUAACACUGGAUUCUGGUUUAAGUCUCUGGAACUAGACCCCAGGUCACCUUGUUAGCAGGCAGAGGUUUAUAGGACUCUUUAGUCUUUAUUUACUGGUUAUCUCUUGCAUUGUUUUCUCAGGUGACAAACAUAAUCAGCGUGGACUUCACUAAUUGAACUCUUAGAGGAUAACAUUAUGUCCAGGUUUGGGAAAUUUUUGGAGUACCUCAUGACAUCCGUUUGUCAGAGUAUCUCGAUAAGACAUUACCUGGCAGGUGUCUGUUGAAGAAGGAACGAGAAAUACGCAGAAUUAACUUUUAACUUUUCCAUCAUCACAGGUAAUUUGGACAAUUUUUACACAAUGGGAUGAGAAUGAUGCAGAUUAGAUCACCUCUGUGGAAAAUGUGACCGGACGCUAAAAAAAGGAAGUUCUAAAUCCAUAUACAAACUUCUUACUGCCCUCAGGGCCGUUCCCCCAGAAGUCUGCUCAUGUCGAGGUGGCAGAUGUGGUUCAUUCUGGGAAACGACUGCAUAGUGUUCCAUUACAAUAGGUUACACCUCAGCCAUUCAGCAGUCUCUUCACGGAACCAUGAAAACCAGUUGCUGCAAGAACAUCUCCUUCCUGUCUCCUCAUGAACCUGUCCUGGAAGGCCAACGGUCACCAGGAAAGGGAUCAGGAGACCCACCUGCUCAGAGAGUUCGAAAGUGUGCCCAUGUUCCUGUGUCCUCACUGAUGAAAGUGACAGCUAGAGAAACAGUUGCCAAUUGUCAAAGACAGCCAUGGGGCUUAGGAGGCCUGACUGCAGACUGGCGAUCAACACUGCACAUCCUGUGAAUAAACACCUUUUUCAUAGGCUUAAAAAAA